rnacentral:rRNA from 1 species
CGGUAAUUCCAGCUCCAAUAGCGUAUAUUAAAGUUGUUGUGGUUAAAAAGCUCGUAGUCGAACCUUGGGCCUGGCUGGCCGGUCCCCCUCACCGGGUGCACUGAUCCAGCCGGGCCUUUCCCUCUGUGGAACCCCAUGGCCUUCACUGGCUGUGCGGGGGAAACAGGACUUUUACUGUGAAAAAAUUAGAGUGCUCCAGGCAGGCCUAUGCUCGAAUACAUUAGCAUGGAAUAAUAGAAUAGGACGUGUGGUUCUAUUUUGUUGGUUUCUAGGACCGCCGUAAUGAUUAAUAGGGACAGUCGGGGGCAUCAGUAUUCAGUUGUCAGAGGUGAAAUUCUUGGAUCUACUGAAGACUAACUACUGCGAAAGCAUUUGCCAAGGAUGUUUUCAUUGAUAAGGAACGAAAGUUAGGGGAUCGAAGACGAUCAGAUACCGUCGUAGUCUUAACUAUAAACUAUGCCGACUAGGGAUCGGACGAUGUUAUUAUUUGACGCGUUCGGCACCUUUCGAGAAAUCAAAGUGCUUGGGCUCCAGGGGGAGUAUGGUCGCAAGGCUGAAACUUAAAGAAAUUGACGGAAGGGCACCACCAGGGGUGGAACCUGCGGCUUAAUUUGACUCAACACGGGGAAACUCACCAGGUCCAGACACAGUGAGGAUUGACAGAUUGAGAGCUCUUUCUUGAUUCUGUGGGUGGUGGUGCAUGGCCGUUCUUAGUUGGUGGAGUGAUUUGUCUGCUUAAUUGCGAUAACGAACGAGACCUUAACCUGCUAAAUAGCCCGUACUGCUCUGGCAGUUCGCUGGCUUCUUAGAGGGACUAUCGGCUCAAGCCGAUGGAAGUUUGAGGCAAUAACAGGUCUGU